UGGCUGUCGUCAGCUCGUGCCGUGAGGUGUUGGGUUAAGUCCCGCAACGAGCGCAACCCCUAUUGUUAGUUGCCAUCAUUCAGUUGGGCACUCUAGCGAGACUGCCGGUAAUAAACCGGAGGAAGUGGGAUGACGUCAAAUCAUCAUGCCCCUUAUGACCUGGGCUACACACGUGCUACAAUGGUUGGUACAACGAGUUGCGAGUCGGUGACGGCGAGCUAAUCUCUUAAAGCCAAUCUCAGUUCGGAUUGUAGGCUGCAACUCGCCUACAUGAAGUCGGAAUCGCUAGUAAUCGCGGAUCAGCACGCCGCGGUCGAAUACGUUCCGGGCCUU
rnacentral:rRNA from 1 species